rnacentral:rRNA from 1 species
GACGAACGCUGGCGGCGUGCUUAACACAUGCAAGUCGAACGGAAAGGCCCUGCUUUUGUGGGGUGCUCGAGUGGCGAACGGGUGAGUAACACGUGAGUAACCUGCCCUUGACUUUGGGAUAACUUCAGGAAACUGGGGCUAAUACCGGAUAGGAGCUCCUGCUGCAUGGUGGGGGUUGGAAAGUUUCGGCGGUUGGGGAUGGACUCGCGGCUUAUCAGCUUGUUGGUGGGGUAGUGGCUUACCAAGGCUUUGACGGGUAGCCGGCCUGAGAGGGUGACCGGCAAAAUGGGGACUGGGAAACGGCCCAGCCUCCUAGGGGGGGAAGCGGGGGGGAAUAUUGCACAAGGGGCGGAAGCCUGAUGCAGAAACGCCGCGUGGGGGAUGAGGGCCUUCGGGUUGUAAACCGCUUUCGCCGGUGACGAAGGGUGGGUGACGGUAAUGGGUAAAGAAGCACCGGCUAACUACGU